rnacentral:misc_RNA from 1 species
GCAUGGAAGCCUAAAUGGGCCAAUUUGGGCAGAGUGAUGUUGGAUUCUUCAGUCGCCAAGGACUCCGAUAACACUGUAGCAUCACAGGCAUCGUCUUCGAUCCCCACCUUGAAUUUAUUUAAGAUUCAAUUGCCCAGUUUCAUCCCUUGGGUUGCUGACGAUGGGAUUCAAAAGGAGACUUCUUCUGCGCCGCCUAACAUGA